rnacentral:misc_RNA from 1 species
AUUGGUUUCCGACAUCCAAUUGUAGCUGGUGGACAACUGCCCUCGUUCAUAACCUUUGUUGCAUCUUCCUUGAGUACGCAAUCAGAUACUAUAUUUACAAGAGAGCCUCCAAAACCAUGGCUAGCAUUAUAGGCAUCUGAAACCAAUUGUGCAUGUUGUAUCUUUGUGUCGAAAUAGCUCCUUGCUAUCUUUUGUUCAGAAAGUCCCUCCUCUUUUAAGGUUAUGUGCGCGUGGAGUAUUUGGUUGGCAUAACUCUUCCUAAUACUCAAACUUUGAGAAACUAACUUGAAUUGUUGAAGAGCUACUUGCAUUUGAUUAGACUGAUUCCUGCUCAUAGUUGUUAACGCUAACCCUAGGUCUCCCACAAAAGUUGU